GACGUAGGGGCAAGCGUUGUUCGGAAUUAUUGGGCGUUAAAGCGCUCGUAGGCGGGACAGGAAGUUCGUGUUGAAAGACCUCGGCUCAACUGAGGGACCGGCUCGAAUACUCUUGUUCUGAGGCAAUCAGAGGGUGAUGGAAUUCCCGGUGUAGCGGUGAAAUGCGUAGAUAAUCGGGAGGAACACCGGUGGCGAAGCGGUUCUCUGGGCCUUACCUGACGCUGAGGAGCGAAAGCGUG
rnacentral:rRNA from 1 species